rnacentral:lncRNA from 1 species
UAGCUGUGAGGAAAUGGAACCUGUUGCCCAAGCACUUCCCUUUCAGCCUGAUGUCUGCUCUCCUCCCCAAGAGGAAUGGAAUGCAGGGGGCGAGAGGUUUUCCGCCCUGGGAACCUAGAGUAAAACCAGUCCGCACAACGACAUGGCCCUUGGACUGACGGCAGGGACCCGUCACUUUGGGAAGUGCAGGCAGGAAUCCUUGAGUCGGGAUGGCGCCUUCCCUCCUCUGUCCUCCUCUCAUCCCCAACCCCUCCCUCCCAGAGGACAGAAGCCUGCUCCCCCAAAUUCUGCGGGGGCCACCUCCCUUGGCCUCCCUCCCUAGGAUUUGCUGAUAGACGAAAGGACACUAGCUUUUACUGAGCCCCUACUGUGUGCCCUGCCCUGGGCUUGGCACUGUGUCACCCAAUGAAACAAAGAAGACCUAUCUCCUGCCCUGCGGAGGCGUCCACCCGUCAGGUUUAAAGGUCUGAAGGGAAAGCCAUCCAUCGGGCCGAGCCCAAAAUGGCCGAGGCUGUGAAAAGAGCGAGACAGGUCUGGAGGAAUAGGAAUGCCACGGGAGCUGAGGCUAAGGAGGAAGACGUCUCCAGGUGGAGAACUGAUGCACCCUGUUUGCCCCCAGUUUGUCGCACCAUCACCUGGAAUAACAGCUCUGUGGGACCACGUGGAACUGUGGGCCAUGCCAUUGUAACAACAGCACAGAGACUCCAUGGGCCCAUGGAAAGGGCGCCAUAUUUGAAGUCGGCAGAUGUGGUCCUGGCUCUAUUGAGAAGAUACAAAUGACAUGUGACCUGCUGAGUGAUACAAAAAUCUACAUAAUGACAGAGUUCUGCUUCCUAAGGCAAAAAACAGGUGAUGGUCUGUCAAAAGAUUUUUUUUUUUUUUUAAAUCAGUUCUGGACAAAAGCAAGGCCCAGAACCCCCAACCCUUGUCAAAGACACACCCACCCAGAUGUUAAGUAUUUUCAGAUUUAAGUGGUGAACCGCCCUGUAUACCGAUCUAUACUUUGAUCUGUUUCUCUGACUUCCUUGGUAGUUGCCCUCAGUUCUGGUCUGGGCGACACCUGGUCUCCCUGGAUGAUGCACUGUAGGUCUUCCUGUUUCCACUCCCAGGCCUGCUUUCUGUAACAAAUCAUUUUCCUCUCAGCAAGCAGAGGGAAGAGUCUCAUCUGGCCUGAUCCAGCUUUGGGGAGGAGCUGGUGAAGAGGCCAUCUAAGAGAUGCGUUCCAGGGCAUCUCAAUGAGCUAGAUGAAGCCGUGGAGCAAAAUAUUUGAAAUCUAAACUGUCCUGGACAAAUGUAGGACAAAUGAGCAUGGUAACCUGUUUUCAAGCAGCCUGCAGACUGUUGUUGAGAUAAGCUAUCAACCUCUAAAAAUAUCC